UACGUAGGGGGCGAGCGUUGUCCGGAAUUAUUGGGCGUAAAGAGCUCGUAGGCGGCUUGGCAAGUCGGAUGUGAAAACUCCAGGCUCAACCUGGAGCCGCCAUUCGAUACUGCUAUGGCUAGAGUCCGGUAGGGGAGUGUGGAAUUCCCGGUGUAGCGGUGAAAUGCGCAGAUAUCGGGAGGAACACCGAUGGCGAAGGCAGCACUCUGGGCCGGCACUGACGCUGAGGAGCGAAAGCGUGGGGAGCGAACGGG
rnacentral:rRNA from 1 species